rnacentral:rRNA from 1 species
UAGUCCACGCCGUAAACGAUGGACACUUGGUGUUGAUGGUAUUGACCCCAUCAGUGCCGUAGCUAACGCGUUAAGUGUCCCGCCUGGGGAGUACGGUCGCAAGAUUAAAACUCAAAGAAAUUGACGGGGGCCCGCACAAGCGGUGGAGCAUGUGGUUUAAUUCGAUGCAACGCGCAAGACCUUACCUGGGCUUGACAUGUAGUGGAAGACUCAUAGAGAUAUGGUCGCCUUCGGGCCGCUACACAGGUGCUGCAUGGCUGUCGUCAGCUCGUGUCGUGAGAUGUUGGGUUAAGUCCCGCAACGAGCGCAACCCUUACCUUUAGUUGCCAGCAUUUAGUUGGGCACUCUAGAGGGACUGCCGACGUUAAGUCGGAGGAAGGUGGGGAUGACGUCAAGUCCUCAUGGCCUUUAUGUCCAGGGCUACACACGUGCUACAAUGGCAGAUACAAAGGGCUGCUAAGCCGCGAGGUGGCGCAAAUCCCAGAAAGCCGAUCUCAGUCC